rnacentral:rRNA from 1 species
UACGUAGGGUGCAAGCGUUGUCCGGAAUUAUUGGGCGUAAAGAGCUCGUAGGCGGUUCGUCGCGUCGGCUGUGAAAACCUGAGGCUCAACCUCAGGCCUGCAGUCGAUACGGGCGGACUUGAGUACUGCAGGGGAGACUGGAAUUCCUGGUGUAGCGGUGAAAUGCGCAGAUAUCAGGAGGAACACCGGUGGCGAAGGCGGGUCUCUGGGCCGAUAUUGACGCUGAGGAGCGAAAGCGUGGGGAGCGAACAGG